GUGCUCGCUUCAGCACAUACAGUAAAAUUGGAAUGAUACAAAGAUUAACAUGGACCCUGUGCAAGGAUGGCAUACAAAUUCACGAAGAAAAGGUGAUAUAAAAUUUGU